GAUGAACGCUGGCGGCGUGCCUAAUACAUGCAAGUCGAGCGAACAGACGAGGAGCUUGCUCCUCUGACGUUAGCGGCGGACGGGUGAGUAACACGUGGAUAACCUACCUAUAAGACUGGGAUAACUUCGGGAAACCGGAGCUAAUACCGGAUAAUAUAUUGAACCGCAUGGUUCAAUAGUGAAAGACGGUUUUGCUGUCACUUAUAGAUGGAUCCGCGCCGCAUUAGCUAGUUGGUAAGGUAACGGCUUACCAAGGCGACGAUGCGUAGCCGACCUGAGAGGGUGAUCGGCCACACUGGAACUGAGACACGGUCCAGACGACUACGGGAGGCAGCAGUAGGGAAUCUUCCGCAAUGGGCGAAAGCCUGACGGAGCAACGCCGCGUGAGUGAUGAAGGUCUUCGGAUCGUAAAACUCUGUUAUUAGGGAAGAACAAAUGUGUAAGUAACCAUGCACGUAUUGACGGUACCUAAUCAGAAAGCCACGGCUAACUACGUG
rnacentral:rRNA from 1 species